ACCCGAAAAGCCGAAAACGGUUAAUAGAGUAGGCA
rfam:Flavobacterium branchiophilum FL-15, complete genome.